GGCGGAGAAGCAGAGGAGAGGGACGCUGGAAGCACGUUUGGCCCGGGACAGAAAUCUGGAGAGCUUGGCUACCUCCAUCCUCCUCAGGCCGGAGCAGGCUUCCUGAGAGAGUCCAGGUCGUAGGAGUUUUACGACUUAGAAAAGCGGGCUGCAGAUUCCUUCCUGGGUGUUUGGUUCAAGCCUUGGCUCCGGCCUUACUCUCAGUCUUCCCGGGAGUUCGUGGGAUUUGGACCUUAGAUUAUUAGUAUUAUUUUGAGGGCCUCCUGUGUGUAAGCACUGGUUGUGCGCAGAUGGCUGUGCAGAGGGCCAUGAGGUAGAGGCUGGGGAAAUGAGGGCUUGGAGGUGCUUGAGGUAUGGUCUUUACCUACGUGAAAUGUUGGAGGCACCAUUCCGAGUGCAGUGGCUACAAAGACUAGUAGAACAUAGUCCUGGUUCUUUAGGAACUCUGCGAUUGAGCAAGUGGCAGAGAGGGCGGAAAACGUGAACUGGUGAGUAGUUGGCGUGUGAUGCGUGCCGUAGUGGAAGAAAGUGCUGUGAGAGUUAGAAGAGGGGGAUGAUUGAAGGAAUUAAGGACAUUUAACAGAAAGUGAUAUUUGAGUAAAGUUUAUUUUUGUUUUUUUGUUUUUUUUUUUUGAGACGGGAGUCUCGCUCUGCCUCCCAGGUUGGAGUCCAGUGGCGCUAUCUCGGCUCACUGC
rnacentral:lncRNA from 1 species